rnacentral:rRNA from 1 species
GACGAACGCUGGCGGCGUGCUUAACACAUGCAAGUCGAAGCGGUAAGGCCCUUUCGGGGGUACACGAGCGGCGAACGGGUGAGUAACACGUGGGUGACCUGCCCUUAGCUCUGGGAUAAGCCUGGGAAACUGGGUCUAAUACCGGAUAUGACUCCAUGACGCAUGUUGUGGGGUGGAAAGCCUUGUGCGGCUAGGGAUGGGCCCGCGGCCUAUCAGCUUGUUGGUGGGGUGANGGCCUACCAAGGCGACGACGGGUAGCCGGCCUGAGAGGGCGACCGGCCACACUGGGACUGAGACACGGCCCAGACUCCUACGGGAGGCAGCAGUGGGGAAUCUUGCGCAAUGGGCGAAAGCCUGACGCAGCGACGCCGCGUGAGGAUGAC